CUUCAUUAUUUUUUCUCAUUGUUUCCUUAGAAUAUUCAUUUUUUUCUUUUUUCAAUUUUAUUUAACAUCAUUAUGUCUUUUUUCCUCCACCCUAUGGAAGGUACUUUUUACACAAAAGCUUCUGUCACUAACUAUGAUUGGAAAUGUGACAUCCAGUGUGAACAUUUAUCUUAACAGAAUCAUUAAUUUACAACAAAAUGCUAAAUACCAGUCCCCUCCAGGAAACAGUGAAGCAGACUUUGCAUUCCUUAGCUUUUUUCUUAUAAAAGAUAUUUUAGAUCCAUUUUACUGCAUGAAUCAUUUCUCUUCCAAAUCCAAUAUGUUAAACGAUUUCACAGUAUAGCACUUAUCAAAACCUACAUCCUGGCCAAGUGCAGUGGCUCACAUCUGUAGUCCCAGCACUUUGGGAAGCCGAGGUGGGCGGAUCACCUGAGGUAAGGGGUUCGAGACCAGCCUGACCAACAUGGUGAAACCCCAUCUCUACUAAAAAUACAAAAAUUAGCCGGACGUGGUGGUGCAUGCCUGUAAUCCCAGCUACUUGGGAGGCUAAGGCAGGAGAAUUGCUUGAACCCAGGAGGCGGAGGUUGCAGUGAGCCGAGACCAUGCCACUGCAUUCCGGCCUGGGUGACAGGGUAAGACUCUGUCUCAAAAACAAAAAACAAAACAAAACAAAACCCUACAUCCUGUGCCAGGUCCUAGAAUGAUUCCACAAUAGUGGUGGUGUCCCCUGCUGGGUUUGACCCUGUUCUUUAUUUCAGCUAGUGUCCGCAGCAAUGACUCUCAGCAGAUGCUUGUCACAGCGGAGGGCAUGUUUCAUGCUAGCAGCUGCACUGCAUUUGAUGUGCAGGACAGCCCUAGGAGGGUUGCUAUUCCCAUUCUACAGAUAAGGGAACUGACGGUCCAGAGUCACAUAGUGAGAGCAGUGAAGCCAGGAUUUAGACUUCUGUAGGUCUGAAUUCGAACCCAGUCACUGCACUGUACAUGUACGAGUUUCCUCUUUCAACCACAUGGAACUGACUUUGUAGACUCUCGGGAAGCAAAUAAGUCUGACAUGACCUCCUCACUUUGUCCAUUAGUGCUAGCAAAGGUUUCCUGAAGUUGCAAAGCUGAUUCUUGCAGCCUCAUGGGCACCCAUUUGAGGGGGUUCACCUAGGCCCAGAACCCCCUCCUCCUGGUGGGAGCCCCAUGGACCUCCCCUCCGCAAGGCCUUUUAGAAAUCUGAGAGCAGAGUUCUAAGCAAGAAUUCAGAGAAUCGUCUCCCAAACCCAGAAAGGCCGACUUAUCCACCCCAGGGCAUCUGACCUAAAUUCCAACCUUUCGCUCAAUUCUGAGCUCUAGAGACUACCUUGAUUUUAAUUAAUGGAAAAGACAAAACAGAACAAAACAGCAGACCUGCAAGAAGUAAGAACUCCCUUCAUGGAAUGCUUUGUCGCCUUGGGGAUGCUGGAUGCUAUUUAUACCCCCAUUUUUAAUCAUAUCUUUAAAAAUUACUGAUGAAGUUUAAAGCAUUCACCUGAUGGCAUGUCAGCACCUCCAAAUGCAUAAUCUCGCCUGUGUCAAAGAACUGGGGAGUCCACCCCAUCAACCCCUAGGAUGCUGGCUGACUCAGCGUCAAGCAGUGCCAAGCUCCCAAAGCCACGAUGCUUAAACAGGUGAAAAAUUAUGCAUGUCAGGUUCCAAAACUGCUCCUCUUAUUAAUCCAUCCGAAGAAUACUAACAUUAGGAAAACAACAACCUGCAUUUUUGUAUUUUGUAGCUAGACACUUCUCUUUCUCUAUUUCCAGGAAAUAAGAAAAAAAAGAACAGCCUUGCAAUAGACAUAGGUUCAUAGAAAAAUGAGAAGGCAAGGGGCAUUUAGAAGUAGCAACAAGUUGAAAUUUUAUUAUAUGCCUCUGACAGUGGUAAGGUUAUGUUUUUAAAUUUGAAGUAAAAUUGUUUAGACAUGCUUGUGUUUAUUGAUAGGAAAUCACCGUGUGGCCAGAGCCCAAGAGAAUUUCUUCCUGGGACAACUGAUCAGAGAAGGAAAAGAGCCUUCUCAUGUGACUGCUUUCUCAGUGCUUUUUUUUUUUUUCUGAGAUGGAGUCUCGCUCUGUCGCCCAGGCUGGAGUGCAGGGCUGAGAUCUCAGCUCACUGCAACCUCUGCCCCCUGAGUUCAAGCGAUUCUCCUGCCUCAGCCUACCAAGUAGCUGGGAUUACAGGCAGGUCAUACCACACCCGGCUAACUUUUGUAUUUUCAGUAGAGACAGGGAUUCAUCAUGUUGGCAAGGCUGGUCUCAAACUCCUGACCUCAGGUGACUCACCCACCUUGGCCUCCCAAAGUGCUGGGAUUACAGGCGUGAGCCACCGUGCCUGGCCUCAAUGCUAUUUUUUGACAAAGAAGACUGACCCAUGAAAGGCCGACCCUGUCAAGAUGAUCCUACUAAUCAUGCCUGCUAAGAUGGCGUUCAGCCCAUCACUUACACCUAAUAUCUCAGGCAUUUCCUUGGAUCAACAGACUUUCAAUUUAUGACCUCAGAGGAGAGGGGCAAACUUGAAUUUCCUUCAUAGACACCUCCCCCUAGUACCCUCCUUUCCUCUCUAACCAUCCUUCCUUCUUUAUCAACUUCGUGGUGUGUGUGCAUAUGUUUAAUCUAUCUACAUACAGGUAGGAAGUGUCAUCUUUCGGAGUCGGCUCAAACCCUUUCGGGUACUGAUGAACUUCCGGGCACAUUUAUCUUUGCCCACAGCUUCUGAGCUCCGCCUCUUCAGAGGCACCUAAUGCAGCUUCAGGCCUUGAGGCCUCUCCAGUGUGAGCCACGCCUCCUGCACCCCAGAUUCUGGAGGAGGGGGUCAAGUUUCCGGGCAGGCCCCAUGGAAGCCUCACUCACCGGGCUCCAGGUGUGCAGGAAGCAUCCCCUCUGUCCCAGGCAGGAGGGAGGGGCAGACAGCACGCUGACAACUCUCCCUCCAGGAGCCAGCUCACCCUCUUUGCCCCCCGACCUGGCCUCAUAUCACACAGGUUCUGGCCCAGGAUAAUGCUGGGAAAAGACACUUCAUGUCACAUCAUGUCACUCCAGUGAUCUGUUCUCUCCUCUACCUUAGGAAAUGUAUUCUCGGGUUUGUUGUGGUGUUCUCAGCUAAAACACUGAGACAGAAAAUUCUCAUUUUAACACCCUAUGAUUGGCAUGGAUAUCGACUAAGUGUUAAGAGCAGAUGGUAAAAGAAGGUUUAUAGUUUCACAUCGUUUUUGCAUAAAUAAAUUAAAUAUUUAUAGAAAUCCCCUAAAAAAGAGGUGUUAAAAUGGUGUGGGUAGUGGAGUUAUGAGCGACUUCUCUGUAUGUGACAAUUAUUUUUCACAAUGGACACCUUUAGAAUGACAUAUAGACACUGAAAAUGUGUUUUUUCAAAACAUGAAAAUAAAACAUAGAAAAGGCUACAAUGCUAUUAAGGCUACACUACUCCACUUUGAGUGAUUUCCUUUGAAAGGAAAAUGAUUCUCACGAAUUCCCAUGGUUGAGAAAUUCUUUCAUCAUAACGUUAUUUAAAUAUGUACAAAUAUAAAACUAGUUAUAAAGCCCUUAUUCACUAGCAAUGUACAUUUACAGGGGGAACAAAAGAAAGGCCCUAACUUAAAAACUAAUAGAAUUUAAAUCAACCAUACUCAUUUGAUAUGACAGAUUGCAUUAUUUUGCUAAAACAAAAUUGCUAGUUCUGAGUUGAAUAUUAGAAAACGAUGUGUUGGUGGCUUUCUGUUGACUUGUCACUACCUGGAACGUGUUUUUAUGUUCAGCUUGGUGGACCACUGUUGGCAUCACCAACAUUAUCAUUGUCAUAAUUUACCCUUUUUAUUUUUUACAUAUUCUCCUGGUUAUUUUUAACUGCCAAUCCAUUAUGUUGACAGGCCAAUCAUUUUAAAAUAUAUUCCAAAAUGCAAUCAUGAAAAAUAAAAAUAUGUCAUUGAAUGAGAACUUCUUUGUGGGCCAUCUCCCGCUACACUGACUGAGAACUGACUGUUGCAAUUGCUUCUGAGGAAGUAUAUGAUGUUGGGAUCUGGCGGACACAUCCCUGGGAGGGGAGCGUGUUGGGCUGACAGCAGAGGCCCAGGUCCUCUUGGCUCCACAGCCGGUGUGGGAGGAGGUCUCAGUUCACCCAGCACGCUUUUCUGUCUAACCUCUGCUACCUUUAUUGCUUAGGUAAAACAUGACUUCAUUUGGCCUUGUUGAUGCAGCAGUAUCUCUUUAACAUUAAGUAUGCUUCUGCUCCUAUUAAUCCAGGACAAUUAAAGAAAGCAUCAGUUUGCAAUACUAGGUCUUUUAAAUUCUGUCGAAUCAAAGUCUUUGCUUACUAAGUAACUUAAGAAAGUGAAGUCUAUAAAAAUGCUCUACCAAUGAUCUACGAGAAAUUUUGCCCUCACAGCUGGUUAAAGAAUUCAACUUGACACAAUGUGAAACAGGGAAGGAUGCUGCUGUUAGGACCUGAUACAUUUUUUGAAACCACAGGGCACUGAAGUGGAGGCAAACGUUUAAGUGUGGCCUUGAAAUAACAUGACAAAAGUCGUUGUCCUGAUAAUUCCAAGAAGGCCUGUGAUCAUUUUUUAAGUUUUCAUCAGAAUGGAAAACACGAUACAAAAUUCUCAUGGAGAACUUGCCGAUGGAUGUGAAAUUUCCACAGAAUUAAUUUCUUAAGCGACACAGUCCAGUCGUUUGGCAGUCCUUGGUGUUGCCUGGCUGGCGGCCAGGUCACUUCAGUCUCCGCCCCCAUCUUCGCACGGUGGCCCCUCCCUGUGUGUCUUUAACCUGAUCAUAUCUGCAAUGACCCGAUUUCCAACUAAGGUCACUGUGUUAGUCCGGUUGUGCUGCUCUAAAAAAUAUCUGAAACUGGGUCAUGUAGAAAAAACAGAAACUUAUUUCUUCUAGUCUUUGCUGGAAAGUCCAAGGUGAAGAUGCUGGCAGGUCCAGCGUCUGGGGAGAGUCCAUUCCUCACAGAUAAUGCAGCCUCGGCGUCCUCACAUGGUGGAAGGGGCAGGAGGGGCAAAAAGGGGUGAGCUCCCUCAGUCAAGCCUUUUAUAAGGCCGUCGACUUCCACUCACCUCCUAAAGACCCUAUUUCUUUGUAUUGUUGCAUUGGGGAUUAAGUUUUGACAGAAGCAUUCAAACCACAGCGGUCACAUUCACGGGUUCCAUGUGGACGUGAACUUUGCGAGGGACACUAUUCAACCCAUGACAAAAGUCCACACAUACUUCCUGAGCACCUGCUUAACAUAUAAGAAAAAAUGGUAUGUCUCUUGGUUUCCCAAAUUUCAUAUUCCAGUGUGAAAGUACAAGGACACAUACUCGUACUAUCUGGGCACGAAGGUCAGCUCUGUUUUCAAAUUAUUAAAGAACAUAUUAUCACUCUAAAAGCGUGCUACUUUGAGGGAAAAAUAAAAGAACUAUUCACUCAUUUCUCAUUCAGUUAGCAUUUUUAAAUACUAAGAUACAUGCUUUGCAUGUAUUUUGUGGGGAAAGAUUUAAGUAUACCUAAGACAAGGUUGCUGGCUCUUAAACCACUGAUGAAUCCAGUCCUGUCCCAGACCUGGCCCUCAUCUCUGCUACAAAGGAGCGAUAGCCCAUUCCUACUCCAGGAGGAGAAACUCCCUUUCAUCCUCCCACUCCAGGGCAGCAGGAACUUUUUGCAAAGAAAGCAGGAAAGAUAGCAAGCAGAGAGCUGCUUUGUCUUUGGGAUUGGUUUGCAAAUAGAACCUCUCAAAGCAAACUCUUCCCCUGGAAAGUCUGGGAUUUCUCCAUGGGACAGAAAAAUAUGCCUUCCUAUUGUCAGACAGAUAAGGCAGUGGAUUUUCCUUCUCAAAAAGGAGUGUCCCUCCUUUGCCAUCAGAAGACUGUCAACAUUGUCUGAAGCAGGUGAGACGAAAUUUUGACAAGAGGGAGAAAUAGAUCAAAGAGAAUGUUUUCCACUUCGGGUGAAACUUACAUAACAUUCCCACAAUUUAUGAGGUGUGCCUUGUCCAUGUGUCUCCUCUAUCAUAUUAAUCACUUAAUGUUUUUCUUUAGGUUGACUCAUUUGAAAAUUUAAAUACUUUUUCCCGUCCUAGGCAGUAAUAUCCAUGGGAAAAAACUGAUUUAAUGCUCCAUUUAUAUUUCUCAAAUUCAAAUUAAAUAUAUAACUAAAAAUAAAAAAAAUGUAUCCAUCUGUCAUAUAAAAUCCUCCCAACUAGCACCCAUGGGAUGCGGCUGCACAUGAGAAAUACUGAUUUAAUGUAAGCUGAACGGCGAUGAGUUCCUGCAAUGGGCAGUGAUGACUCUGGACCCAACAGGAAGAGAGUGUGGUCAUAGGAGAGGAGGAUGCCAAAGGCAGUUAGUGUGGCGGUCAACCACACAGAACUCUGCAGCCCUGCAGACCUGGCUUUGGUUCCAGCUUCAUUACUGAACACAGAGCCUACCUUGUUUAAGCCUCAGUUUCCUUUUAUACACACUUGGAAUACUAUCUCCUGACUCACUGUGUUAUUGUGAAUAUUGACAUUCACUCACUCACAGACAUUUAUUGAAUGCCUUUUAUGGGAUACCAGGAACUGUGCUUGGGUCCUAGUUCCAAGCAAGAACCCCAGUCCCUGCCAUAUGCGUGUUUCAGCAAUCACCUCUAAGUUACUUGUCUAAUAAAUCUCUGUAUAUACACUGUCAUCCAUAUGCAAUAUAGUUACUUUCGAUCAAUGUCCUUAUUUCUCGUUUUCCAAUUAAAGAACUGCAGAAUACCUGGGUAUGCAUGGAUCCUACUCAUGAUCAGAUGCUAAUUGUAAUGCAGACUGAUUCCUGCCUGCAUGGAGCUUCCCACCUACUAGGGGAAAAGAGAUAUCAAUUAACUAAUUUCAAAAGUGCAUGUAUAAUUACAAAGCGGGGAGAGUCCCAGGAAUAGAGAUGGCAUUGAAGAAUGUAACACAGAGUCCCAACCUGGGUUAAGAAAUCAAUGAGAUAAUGUAUGUAAAGUACUGUGAAAUAGCCCAUUGUCCAUGUUAAGCUGGCGAUGAUGAUAAAACUGAAACGAGAUUUGGAAUUCCCAGUGUCUGAUCCAGGCUAGGCUGGAGGCAUUGCCAGCGGUCCAAGGAAGAACCCCAUUCAGUCUGUCUGCACGCAUGAUCAGUCAUCUCAAUUUGAAGUUACUUGUUCGUUAAAUCACUCCACGUACGUGGCCACGUACAGUACAGUUGAAAUUUAUUUUAAUUAUUGUCUUUAUUUCUACUUUUUCAGUGAAGGAACCACUUUUUGAUAUGGUCUAUACAAGAAUGCCUGGACAGUGCGGGCCGUACAGAUGAUUAAGUCACUACACUAAUGCUCAGUGAGAACUGACCCCAAUAGAGGAUUUAGGUCAUGUAGCAACAGAUGGCACAUUCUCAUCAAAACCUAGAGUGCCUCAUCAACUGCCCCAUGGAACACUGUGGAGGUUGCUGGAGAUAUUCCAAAUGAAUGCACAUUACAUGCUUCCAUCUCCGUUUAUCUCGCUGCAGUUGUAGGGUGAUUAAUCUGAUAACAUAAUAGUGAUUUAAAAUAUUUACUUUUACCGUGACAUAUCAUUUAUUCAAUUGUACUUCAAAGCAUCACCUGGAUGCUCCCAUGUUGCUGCCGUAAUCAUGCAAAUGUAAACAUUUGGAUUGUGAUUGGAUGACCUAAUUACUUUGACAUUUGUCAUUUAUUUUUUAAUUUUCCUUUCUUUUACAAAGGCACAGGAAAUGCAGUACUUGCCAAAAAAUCACUGCGUACAUCCAAAGGGGAAUUUAUAAUGUUUAAUGACUUCAGAUUUCCCUGCUGCUGAGUCCACAUUCUCCACUGUCAGCAGCACAGCCAAGAAAGGAAAUCACAGAAGAAUCUUUGAUGUCAAAGAAAAGCGACUUGAAUGGCAGGGAGGGAGAUAAUGGGUAUCGGUUUCUUAGAAAAGACAGAGUGACAUAAACUAGGACAUAGAGGGUGGAAAGGAAGCCUGGCCUCAUCUGGCAUGCCAGAACUCAAUGUUUACUUUAUAAUAAUGUCAAAUAAGCAUACCUGAUAUCAGACACCCUACAAUUGUGUACUUUCUUUUUCCUGGGAUAUGUUUAGCUCCUUUACAAGAAGAUGAAAGUGAACCAACUUUUAUAGGAAAAAAAUCUGAAAACCUAACAACCUGCCCCUUCAAAGAAAUAAUCAAAGUAACAUUUUUGGUUCAAUAUAUUUUCCCAAAGAAAUCUGACAAUAUGAUGCUUACACAGUUUUCUUGGCAUUUUUUUCAAUGUUCAUUAUUUGAAUGAUGCUGUUAAGAAGCCAACCAAGGAAACACACACAAUUUAUAAAACUUGCAUAAAGGAAAUGUGUGCUAAUGUGACUUGAGAACUCCAGGAAGAUCUGCUUCCUCUUAGAAAACUGUACUGUGUUCUCUUUCAUUCAUGUGUUCAAUUAUUGAACUAACAUUUGGGAAAAUAGGUUAGUCUGGCUGGAGAUGAUGUUUUGUGGAUCUCCUGCCCUCUCUCUCAAACUUCCUAGAGCCACCUUGGCUCUCUUCACACCACUGUUACCCUCUCUGCCUUCAGGGUGACUCAGACAUCUUUGCUUACCUGGCAGCAGGCAACAGCCUCUGAGAAGGGAAAUACUCACAUUGGCAAGAAAUGCCAAUUGCUGUUGGGUAGAAAAAGAAGUUUCAAAAGCACAAAGGAAAACAUUCAUAAGAAUUCCCACUGAAGCUCCCUGGGCCAAAGAACUUUGGUAUAUAACAUUACAACACUGAGGAGAGACCUGAUUUGCAGAAGGACCAUCAUGACUCCUAAGAACAAGCUAGAUCAGGCUUUGUUUCCACUAUGUUCCAUUUCAAAGUUUCCUAGAAGAUUAUGAUGUGGCAAAGUUUUUCUGAAAAAAUUCGGUGCAGUGAUCUUGUAGUUUUUCUCAUGUGAAGCAAUAUGCCCCCAAGGAUGUCAGAUGACAGAGGCAUUAUGGAAGUCUAUCCCAAGAAGUUAAUGACGAGGUGCUGCCACCCAUUCCUAGAAUACUUGCAUUGACUCGUGAAAACCACAAACAGAGACUAAAUCCUCCCCAGAUGGUGGGGCUAGGAGAAGUUCUUUGGAACAGGCGAGUAGCCUUUCACCAUCCCCAGAAGGGACCUCCAUGAGGAGCAUUUCAAGCAUGACCUGGGAGGAGCUAUUCAGGAGGAGGGGGAUUGAUUAGGAUGUCCACAAAAACAGCCUGCUGCAAAGGGCAGGCCAAGGGUAGUUUCCUAAGGAAAACAGGAAGACUGUAACCAACAGGAGAGGGGAAGCAAGGGGAGAGUGGAUGCUCCCCACAAAGAUGGUGCAUUUUCUAGAACAUCCUUUCCCCUCCUGGAAGACUCUCAUCUGAGUGCUAUACCUGAGUCCCACAGCCUUUCGAGCAGGUAGAAAGGGAGACCUCUCAGUUAUGCAGAGGACAGGGCAAAGGGAGGCUAUCUCCAUAGCAUCACUGUCCCAACAGCAAGCAUGGCAAAUCUCCAGGGUCCAGUGUCCUGCAAGACUGAACUCGAGGGGAGAGUGCCUGGAGAAUUUGGUUUACACAAGAAUGUCUAGGAGACAUUACUGGAGGUCAACAUCCCCUCCAAAUUCCUCCACCUGUAGAGGAAGCAAGGCUGCAGCAUGGAUGAUAUGAGACAGAAAAGCUCUCCGCAAGAAGCCUGCCCCCAGCUCAUAUGCUCACACUUACUGAAUAGUCCUCACAGCUCUGUCUAAAGCUCUCACUUACUUUUGAGGAGAUAAAAGCCAUCAAAAGCCAGGAACUUAAAACAUGUUUGAAGAGUCACCUUUACCAUGUGGCCUCUUGGGGGUGUUUUGAAACCCUCAGUCAGCUCACUAAUUUCAGAGAAAAAGGCCUGGGAAUACACUGCAUAUUUCUUGUUAAGUGGAGUCAGUACCUGAGGACAAGAGGGAGGUGCUUCCUUCCCCCAAGAAUUCGGACGGAGAGAAAAUCCUGAGGCUUGGGGAAAGAGAGGGUCUAGAAAUCAGGCCUCGGUCCUCCCGGGAACAUCCAUGGUGUCGUUCCUCAGGGGCUGUUUGUAAUCUCAGCAACGCAGCAACAGAGAUCGUGACCACAGUUACAAAGGCUGCUCUUGAGUCUCAAAGAAACUGUGAGGCAAUGGAGAAGUCGACGGACCCGACGGCCUUUAUCCAAGACUUUCCAAGAACGAGAGAUGUUAAAUAAGGCAGACACCAACACUGGGGCUACUCGUUAGCUGCUUUCUAUUAAGAAGUGGAGACGGGUUUUCAGUGUUCAUCAUGUCCACCGAGAUUUUUCCUGAAUCCAUGUUCACUUCCCAACUUCCAUAUCACUCUCAUUCCCAAGUCCACUAAUCCUGAGAAGGAGGUUCCAGCUAGCAAUCUCUAACAAGGAAAUAUCACUCAUGAAAAAAUUAACCAAUUGCUAUUCUGGUUUAUUUUAUCCACUUAUUCUAGCAAUAUUUGGAAUCAUUUCUUAUAUUCCAGGCACUGUGCUACUAUUUGAUGGUAUCCAAAUUUGAAUAAGAUACAACCCCAUUUCUAAAUGUCUCUAGCAUUAUAAAGACAUUUAGAAAAUGCUGUGGCACUGCAGUCAUAUGCUAGAAGAGCAGAGAAGAAAGCUACCUAACUCUAUUGAUUGGGUGGUGGUCUGGGCUGAGGUUGAAUUCCUAGAGGAGGUUUUGUCUAGGCUGAGUCUUUAAUGUACCUCAUCUUUUAAUAGGUAAUAGAUAGAUGAAUGGCAGAGGGAACAUGAAAAAGCAUAGAGGUGUGAUUUAACAUGGUAUGUUUGAGAAACCUCAAGAAUUUUGGUGUUGCUGAAGUGAAGAGUUUGAGGCAGUGAGUCUUGAGAAAUAAGGAUAGAAAAAUUUAUACAGGAGCCAGAAGUUUGAAUACAAGAGCUUCUCAAAAAGGUUGUGUGAACCCCCCAGGGAUGGAAGGUCUAUGGUAGUAAGCCAGGGGGAAGAAAUUAAUGCACGGCCAUUAGGAGUAGAAUUUAAACUUUACUGAAAAACAUAAAAGAAUCCCUGAACAAAUGACAGACCUGCAUGUUUAUGAAAGGGAAUGCACAAUGUCACAAAUAUGUCAUUUCUCCCCUAAUCAAUCCAAUGCAAUUCUCACUUACAGUCCUGGUGGGCUUUUCUUUGUGAAACUUGAGAAACUGAUUCUAAAAUUCACUUUUGAUGAAAAACUAAGAGAGAGGGUGUUAUGGGCUGAAUUGCAUUCCCUCGAAUUUCCUAUGUUGAAGUUCUAACCCCUAGUACCUCAGAAUGUAACUGCAUUUGGAGAUAGGGUCUUUGCAGAAGUUAAGUUAAAAUUGUGGUCAUGAUGGGGUGGGGCUAAUCCAAUAUUAAUGAAUAUUAUAAGAAGAGGAAUUCACAAACGGACACAUACAGAGAGGAGAUGAUGUAAAGACACAGGGAGAAGGCCAUCUACAAGCUAAGAAGAGAGGCCUGGAACAGAUCCUACCCUCAUGGCCCUCAGAAAAAAGCCAACCCAGCCAACACCUUGAUCUUGAACUUCUAGCCUCCAAAAGUGUGAGAAAAUAGAUGUCUGCUGUUUAAAAAUUUCUGUUAUUUAUGGCAGCCCUACUACAAUAGGGUUUAUAAUGGCAGCCCUAGCAAACUGAUGCAGAGGGUCUUGUGCAAUUGCUAUUGUGAAACUAUACAAUUUAAACAGCCUAAUAUUAGCCCCAUGAUAGACAAACAGACCAGUGCAACAGAAUAGAACAUCCAGAAACAGGCCCAUUAGAAAAGUAAACAUUUUAAUCUGACAAUACCAGUGCUCAUACUCUCCAGGCACUUGGUAUGUACCUUGGCAAAAACGGAAGAUGUGCAUGUCUUUUUACCCAACAAUUCUCCCUUUGGAUGCGUAUUCUAGAAAAACUCUCAUGUGAACAAAAGGUAAUGUGUGUAUGAUGCUCAUUCUAGUGCUGUCCAACAAACAACAAUAAAAACCACCUAAAUGCCCAUCAAUAGAAAAAUUAUAAUAUAUUCACUUGAUGGAAUUGCUUUUCCAAUCUGAAAAAAGUCUUUAUUCAUCUUUGUUUUUGAAAAAUAUUUUCACUGGGAACAGAAUUCAAGAUUGGCAAUUUUUUUCUUUCAGUACUUUUAAAAUGCAGCUCCAAUGGCUUCUCACUUGCAUUGUUUCUUCUGAGAAAUCUGCUGUCACCCUUAUCUUCCCUCCUCUUUAUUUUGUCUGUCUUUUCCUUUUGUCUUUUUUGUAUGACUGCUUUUAAGAUGUUCUCUUAGUCAUUGGUUUUAGCCAAUUUGGUUAGUAUGUGCUUUCGUGUAAUUUUCUUCACAUCUUCCUAUACUUAAGGUUCUCUGUGCUUAUUGGAUCUAUAGGUUUAUAAUGUUCAUCAAACUUGGAAAAUUUUGGCCAUUAUCUAUAUAAAUAUUUUUCCUGGCCCCUUCCCUUUGGUGAUUCCAAUUACAUAUAUAUUAAACACCUGACAUGAUUCACAGCUUAUUGAUGUUCUGGAGGUUUUUUUCUGUACUUUUCCCUCUUUGUUUCAUUUUAGAUAGUUUCUAUUACUAGAUCUUAAAAUUUACCAAGUUUUCUUCUGCAGUGUCUAAUAUGUUGCUAAUCCUAUAAUUUAUUUUUUGUCUCAUACAUUGUAUUUUUUUCAUCUCUAGGAGUUUGUCUUGUGUCAUUUUUAUAUCUCCCAUGCUUCUAUUUAACUUUUUGAACAUAUAGAAUACAGUUAUUAUACUGAUAUUUUAAUGUCCUUGUCUGCUAAUUUUAACAUUGGUGCCAGUUCUGGGUCAAUUUUGAUGGACUGACCUCUCCAUUGAGGGUUAUAUUCUUCUGCUUCCCUGAAUGCCUGGUGUUGGGUGCUGAAAGUUGCUGUAGUCCUUUCAAUAUUAUUGAGCUUUAUUCUGGGAUGCAAUUAAGUUACUGGAAAUAGAUUGAUCCUUUUGAGUCUGGCUUUUAAGAUUUUCUAGGUAGGACCAUAACAAUGCUGAGUCUAUUUCUACUUAUUCCCCACUGAUUAAGGGAAGGCUCUCUGUGUAUUCAAACCAAAUGUCCUGUGAAUCAUGAAGUUCUUCAGUCUGGCUAAUAGAAACAGGCACUGUUCUCAGGCCUUGGUCAGCUCCAGUUACUUCCAGUCUUUUUGAGUAGUUCCUUCCCCAAACUUGGGAGGUUUUCAUGUGAUCAUAAGUACUCACUGGAACCCUCAGUGGUGACCCUCUGCACCCUCUGUAUGCCUCCUGGUCAUUCUUCCUGUGCAGUACUCUCCUUGCUGGAAUUCUGUCCUGUGAGCUCCUGCCUCUGGGAUUUCUCUAUACUCUCAGUUGUGUCUCUCCAACUCAGGGACUCCACUGAGCUCUGCCUGGGUUCCCCCUUCUCUGAACAGGAGCCUGGAAACACUAUCAAGGAAGACAGACUGAGCAAUUGGAGGCCUCAUUAUUGUUCAUUUGCUAUCUCAGAGGGUUCACUGCCCUUCAUUGUUUGAUGUCCAGUGACUUGAAAACAUUAUAUCACAUAUUUUGUCUGUGUUUUGAUUGUUUCAGGGUAGAAGGUAAAUAAAAUCCCCAUCACUUCAUUUUGUCUGGAAAAGCAAGUGCAUUUGAUAGAAUAUUGCAGCUUUCAUAAGUGAACUAGAUUAAUAAUUAGGAUUAUAUGCAGUAACACAGACCUUGACAUUAAAUAUUGAGUAAAAAUAAUCCAAUUUGAAGAAAAGUGUAUUCUGUCUGAAACUGUUUACAUAAUUUCAAAACAUGCAAAGGUAUCCUGUAUACCAGUUUUAUACAGAGAAACAUAAACAUAUGUAUGAGAAACACCUAAGCCAAUGUAAGGGAGAUGAUGCAUCAGGAAAGAGAAAAUUGGAGGAGAGGACUAGGGAAUAAUAAAAUGGGGUUUGAACUUUAUCUAUAAUGUCUUAUUUAAAAUAAAAACAUCAAACAAACAUGUAAAAAUGUUAGUAUAUUAGCAUUACUUAGAGCUAAUGGUUGACUAAAAGAAUACUCACUAUAUAUUUUUAUGUCUCCCAAUUAUUUCUUAAUUUAAAAUAUCUGUUAUUUAGGUUAUUAGCAGCUUCUACUGUGGAGAAUAGAUAUUGAAUUUGCCUUUCAGGCUCACCGCCCUGCUCACCAUCCUUGCUCAUAUUUGCAUAAUUAAACAGUUCACAGAGGUGUCUUCCUCGGGAAAAAGAAAACCCUCUUCUAAGAAGGAAAUAUCCAAUAAUAUAAUUCUAAGGAGUUAAAUUGUUGUGGGUGGUUAUUGGAGAUUUUUUUUUAAAUGUAGGCAGAGUUCUAAAUUCUCAUCUGCAAAAUAGAAAAAUCUGUUUUGAUAAAUACUCAUUUAGACUGACCUGUGCAUAUCUAUUAUUGCUCAUUCUUGUGUUUUCAGGGAAAUUAGUGGUGUGUGUGUGUGUGUGUGUGUGUGUGUGUACAUGUGCACAUUUUCUUGUUCAAGGAUAACAGGAAUAGAGAACCUCAAAGACUCAGGAGGAUUUGUAGGCUCCACUCUCAGGGUGAUAUAAGAAGGAAUUGAAUUCCCUUGCUGUCCAUUCUGUAAUAUUAUUUAAUAUUAAUUCACGAACAUCCCAGUGCAUGAAUUGAUGUUAGGGCUAUUGCAUGAUUAUCGUGGGGGGCUAGUCUACACCCCUGUGAGAAGUGUCAUGUUUCUCUUGAUGAGAGUGAGUAGUCCCAGUGUCACAUGUGACAGGAAGAGGACAAUCUAGGGAGAAAAAGUAAGGAAUUGCAUAACUUUUUUGUAGGAGCUUUUGCCAGUCUGGUUUGGACUCAGAGGUAAACAGAUGUUUUGAAAAUUCACCAAUGGAGUCCACAGGCUCCUGCCAUGCGGAACAGGGAGAGGAAGCCUUCAGCAGGCGGGCUCUGAAGGUAACAUAUGCAUUUCUUGUAAUAUUUUCCCCUUCCAUUAACUCACAAAUUUCCAUACAAUUUUAAAACUACAGGCUGAUCAUUGCUAUACUUUGGAGAAUUAAGGGCAAGUGCAUUCCACAGUCAAAGCAGGCCAUGGAGGACACUGUGCACCCACGGCAGAUCCCAGCUGGGCCCUGUAGAGCCAUGUCCUCGGGAAAGUCACUGAGGCAGAGGCAGCAGAAUGGCAUGACCAGGAGACUCGACAGAUGAUCACAGAGCCCACUCCUGAACACACAGGGCAGCUGUCUCCGAUACUUGUCAAUGUUACUUGGAAAUAAUUUGAGAAGGGCUUUUUUUGACAAUUAAAUUAUUAGGGAUCUCUCAGGACAUUAACAUCUCAUUAUUAACUGAAAAUGUGGUUUCAUUUUAUAGUCAUGGAUUGAUGAGGAGCAGAUAUGUGGAUGCCCCUCUCUGGGAAGGAACAGGAGUCCAAGACUGAACGUUAGCCCAGCUCAUUGCGCUGCAGCAGGACAGUGCAGCCUUUCUUGUUUCACACAAGCUGAUCGGAUGCACACUGCACGGUGAAAACAGAGCCAGAUGGAUUCGCUCCCAUCCCAACUCUUCCUUUUCUCCUCAAGAACCGUGACUAAACUUUUCUGAUGACAAUAUUGGACUGCAGGUGAGGGAUGGUGUCAUUGUUUCACAGGCUUGCAUCUUAGAUAUUUACAAAGAAGGAACUUUUGGCACUUUAAUACUAAUAACACAUUAUUUGUGCAUGGCCUACGACAGAUCCGUCUUUACAGGCAAAGGCAGUUGAGGAGAAAACAAGAGAGGAAAUAGGCAAAGACAGUGUUUGACAGGCUGAAGGAAGAAGGAUGAGGGGGCUCUGAGAACUGGAGAAAUAAACAGCAAAGCCAUUUUCAAUCAAGGGCUAUUCAGGGAAAUAGCAGCCAAACUAUGUAUUUCAAAUAGAUGAAAUCUAAUACAGGAAAUUGCUUAAAAAGGUACUGGGCAAGUGGAAUCUCUAAACAGGGGAUAGCAGACAAUGCGAAGACUAGCAAAGUGGGCAGCUGCUGCCACCAUCUCAGUGCUGGGCAUGUACAGGGAGGAGCAUCCUGGCAGCACCCGGGGAUCCAGACCACCCAGUGGAAACUGCAACAGAGGCAGGAAAAUUCAGACAGAGUCAGAGCCAUGGAGAUACUCAGCUGUGGCUGGGGACUCCACAAGAAGAACAGAGAGGAGAUGCAGCCUGGCUCUUCCUGGCCUCUGGCCCACCAGUCUCAACCAAAUUCAUUCCAGGAUCUGAAGGGCAAGGGAGCUGAGAGGGGGCAUCUCAUGUGAUGGUGAUCAGAGUAGGGAAGGGCAGGGAUCAAUUCGAAGAGGGAGGUUGCCAGAUCAAACACAAAUGCCCAGUUACAUUUGAAUAUCCGAUAAACAAUGAAAAAAUUUUAGCAUAACUAUGCUUCAUGCGAUAUUUGGUACUCAGUUAUACAAAUAUUUAUUCAUUGUUUAUCUGAAAUUCAAAUCGACCUGAGCACCCUGUGUGUUUAUUUAAAAAUCUGAGUGCAAACGGAGAUAGCUGGCACCUAUGACAAUAAAUGCUGAAGGGGCCCCAGGAUUCUCCCCGGCCCAGAGGGUUACACCCAUGAAGGAAAGGGAAUUUUGCAAAAGACUAAAGGUUCAUUGCAGGAAAAAAAUGAAAAUUAGGGGAGAGAGAUGGCUGAGGAGUUAACAGAUCAAAGUCUUCAAAAUACCUUACAGGAAAGAUCAAGGACAAAAGGAUUCCCACGGAUGCUGGAAAAGGAAGCCUGGGGCUAGGGGAUGGGAUUGUGGGUUUGCACUCAAGGAUCCUGAUAAUGAGUCAUGUCACUGAUUGAAGCCUGAAACCAAUUAGAGUCAAAAUUAUGCUUGGCCUCAAAAUUAAAAAUAUAAGGCAUGAUUUUUGAAGGAUGAGAAAGCACAAGCUUUUAUUGGGGUCUCUCAUCACCUUGCUGUGCUGUGGUGGGAAUUGGCACAUAAAACAGGAAGGAAUUGGAGAAAAAACCAUCCACCCUCUGGAUCCCAGGAGAUUCUCAGGAGUUUGGAUGAGUGACGAGUGCUGUCAUCUGCUCUCGGGGAAGGACAUUGUGGGGAGAUAGUUGCUAACCUGGGGGUAUUGGAUUAUCAAUGGAACUGCUGGCAUGUGGGGCUUUCUUAGGGCAUAUCAUACCCUCCUUAAACACACACACACAUACACACACUGGAGGCAGAAAAGGUAACUUGGAAAUGACUCACACUGUCUGCCCAACCUGAGCAGAUAGUAUACCUCUCACUAGGGAGCAGUUGUAGCACCUCAGUUCUCAACCCUCUCUCUACCAUCAAUAACCAACACCUUAAAGCAAAGAGGGCCUUGAACACACUUAUAACAGUUAUUGAGGACUGAUUCAUUUUGACAGCAACUGAGGCAGGACCGGUGGAAAAACUGUUGUAUCAGUAUUCAGGAGUGAACUAUUUCUGCAUGAAAGAGGUACUUCUAGUACCUCUUGGUUUUCCGUUACAAACGCAUACAUGUUGAAUGAACAAGAGCAGGCAUGGUUAACUCCAAGAGAGUUAUCUGCUCUGCCAGAAAGCUUUCUUGUCUACCCCAAUUUUCAUAUAAAAAUUCAAAUUGUGCAAGAAGUUUAAUGACCCGAAAGCAAUAUGGGCAAGUUACCCACAGCAUCAGAGGUCAAAAAUGGUUGCUGCCCUCAGAGGUCAUGCAAUCUAAAGUGAGACAGGUCUUCAGUAAAGUGAGUUAGGAGCUGAUGGAGCAGUGAGUGGGAAAGCUGAGCUUGUCGUAGGACCUAUGCAAUUUAAGGUAGCAGUUCUGGGACAAAGAACUUUAGGAAUUGAACCUCCCAGAUUUGGAUACCUCUUUCUAACUCCAAACUCUCUUGGGGAAACAACUCCACAGGCUGACAGUUCUGCAAGGCGUCUUCCUGACACUUCCUGUUUGUUGGUAUCAUAUUCAAGUGCUGCUGCUGCUGCUGCUGCUGCUGCUGCUGUUACUUUACAAUCUUUGGAAACAAAAUACAUGUAGAUUCUGAAUCCACAUGCUCAAUGUGGCAGCCACUAACCACCCGUGACUACUGAGUAUUUAAAGUGUGACUAGUGCAACUGAGAAACUAAAUUUUUAAUUUUUAUUUUACUUUAAUUGUAAAUUAAAACUGGGACUUGAUUCAGUUAUUGGAAAACUUUGAAGUAUCUUUGGAGACACUUAGGUGUGUGAAUCUGAGUUUUUAACUGCAAAGCUUAUGAAAUUUAAAUACAGAUCAAGUAGUUCUGAUGAAAAUUUAGCAUCUGCCUUGAGAUGUAAAAUAAGUAGAAAAUACACACUAAAGAUUUGGUACGAAAACUAUAAAAGAUCAUUAAUAAGCUCAUCAUGUAAUUGGUAACAUGACAAAAUGAUAACAUUUUGGAUAUAUUGGGUUAAAUAAGUUAUAGUAUUUAAAUACAUUUUGCCUGUUUUAUAUUUUCUGUUUUGAAUACAGCUAAUGGAAAACUCAAAGUUACUAUGUGACUUACAUUACAUUUCUGUUGGACGGAACUCUUCUGAAUUCCCAUAUCUUCAUAUGCUCUGUAUCUCUAUGAGCUUAAAUGUAUAGAGGCCCUGCUCUCUACCUCAGCCUUCUUCCCCCGUAAUCUCCCUAGAACAGUCGGGUACAAGUCGGCUGAGAAAAAAGUGAGGCUAGAGAUGGGGGUGGUGCGUGCAAUCACAGUGGGGAUAUGAGGUGGAUGAAGGGACGUGUUUUCUCAGCUAAACUUUUGUUCCCUUCACUCUCUCAUUCCCGGUAGGAAGAUCUUCAGUAACAAAGAGUAAAGAAAGGGAGACUUAGCAGGCAGGAUGCAGCCUCAUCAUUAUGAGAGAGCCAUUGUGCGCAUGAGAAAUGUUUCGUUCACCCCAAGCGACUCACCUUGAAGACCCUGAAGGGCUAGAACAUUUGCUUGACUUCUAGAUCAUUCCCCUGAUGGUCCCAGGGGCGAAUGGUCCCCUUCUCUGUGCUCUGUGAGAACCUCUGGCCCCCAAUGGAAGGGAGCCUGGGAGCAAUCCAUGUAUGAGAAACUCUGGAAGGAAUGUGGGGACCAGAGAGAAGAGGUAGGAGGACAGGACACAAGGGACACCCAGGCGGUGGCCUGGUUCCGGCUGCAUGUGGCGGGCUGGAUGAGACACGUAUCUCAAUGGUGUGCACCGUCUUCCAGCCUCUGUGUACGUCUGCGAUUGUGCCUGUCUAGAAGCUAAGUUAUUCUCUUCCUGUUGAUGGAUACAGUAAGUACAGCUCAGUGCUUUCAUUAAUGUUCUAUAACUCUGACCCCUAAAAUAGGAAUUGAAUUGACAUUUUCCCCAGUUUUAGCCAAAAGACAGCUGUCCAGCAAUAUGAGGUAAUGCUUUAGAAUAAACUUGGCUGGGCGUUCCUAGCUUGGUUUAUACAGUUUGAUUCUCAUGGCUUUUUGUGGAGGCCAACCCAUUGCCAAUGUCCACUUUCACUUUUCCAGUAAUAAUGAAAGUGCCUGGAAUAUGUAAAGUGCACAAAAGACUGUCAAAAUGAGACCAGGCCUCUAAGUAAGCCAUACCAUAUCCAUCCCAUUAAGCUGCAAAAUCAUGAAGUGGGAAAACUGGUUCUUCUUAUAUAAGCCUGGGAGCACAGCAACUGUUGGAAUGGCAUGGAAUGAGGUGCACAUGGCCAGCCAAGGCUUGCUUCUGCCAGACAUUUUCCCCCUAUGGUCAGAAAAGACAGGGGCCAAAAACCUUAGAGAUGAAUAAUCCAUUUUUUUAAAAAUCCAGAUCACUGGCAGGGAGAUUACGUUAUAGCCCCAAAGAGUAGUUAACAGAUUAGGGUCUUUGCGUAUAGAACCUCACGGAGUCAUGUAACAGGACGGGAAUGCAUUCACUGGAGUUACAUUCCAAUGGGUCUGCUUAAUACCUAGGUGUUGUGUGGUGUUGUGGGUCCUUGGACAUGGCUUAAUUAACAGUGCUGGCAGUGGGGACGCCACAUGCAUCUGUGCUCAGCCUGGAGUACAACCUGGGAGAACCUGCCCAGCGUGUUUUCUGGCGCUGGGCAGCCUGCAGAGGGAGGGGGCUAUUGGAGAUUUGACAAGCAGAAGGGGAUUGCUGCAAACCAUGCUGGGGGCAGCACUGGUUGACCCCCGAGGUGGAUAACAUGAAGCCCAGCUCAGCCCCUACCCAGAGGGGCCAGCAAGGGCUGUGAACUCAGGCUGGCAUAUCCUGCCUCCCGGCACUCUCAACCCCAUCCCUGGGAGAUGUCAAUUCCGGGGGCACUCAGUUCUGACUAGAGGACGAGCAGAGGGACAAUAAGACCCCAGUCCCCAGUGGCUGGAGGCUCCCUCAUAAACUUCAUUGCAGCAGAGGCAGCAGCGUACAGAAGGAGCACAGACUCUCCACUCCCCCAGCGGUGCCGACCUGCAACCCCACAGAUGAGAGGCAGGCACCUUGACAUACUAGGAGAGCCAGACGCAUGCGAUGGUGCUCUUAAAAUCUCUUGAAGGUACAAAACGACAUGUGAUCUUUUUGUAAGAAAAUAGUAAAAAACAAAAAUCAUCUGUAAUCCCAUCACACAGAGAGAACCACUGGUAAGAAGUUUUAUGAAACAUGACAUUUUACUUUGUAUUUACUGCUUUUCACCCGUUAUUUUCAUUUCAGAACAUUAUUCUAUGCCAUCGGGUAUUUUUCAAUAUUACCUAUUUAAUAGAGGUAUAGUGCUCAUUUUCAGAUAUGCAUAAAUCCAUCUCUCUAUUGUUUGAGUUUGAAGCAGACUUCAUAUUAAAUAUAUGCGUGUGUGUAUAUAUGCAUGUAUAUAUGUAUUUAUCUUGAUGUCAGCAGAUUUCGUUGCUGAAAAGAAUUCAUUUUAUAUUAUUUCCCAUGAUUUCUCUCUCCCAUUGCAUAUGACUUUCCAAAUGGUUGUUGAUAUGAUUUGCCUCGUGUCCCUUCCCAAAUCUCAUGUUGAAUUGUAAUCCCCAGUGUCAGGGAGGACCUGGGGGAGAUGACUGGAUCAUGGAGGCAGAGUUCUCAUGAAUGGUUUACCACCAUCUCCCCUUGGUACUGUAUAGUGACAAGAGUUUUCACAAGAUCUGGUUGUAUAAAAGUGUGCAGGCUGGGAGCAGUGGCUCACACCUGUAAUCCCAACACUUUGGGAGGCCGAGGUGGGUGGAUCACUUGUGGUCAGGAGUUUGAAACCAGCCUAGCCAACAUGAUGAAACCCCAUCUCUAUUAAAAAUAAAAGAAUUAGCCGGGCUUAGUGGCACGUGCCUGUAAUCCCAGCUACUCGGAAGGCUGAGGCAGGAGAAUCGCUUGAAUCCAGAAGGCAAUGGUUGCAGUGAGGUGAGAUCAUGCCACUGCACUCCAGCCUGGGCGAAAGAGCAAGUCUUCUUUUCAAAAAAAAAAAAAAGUGUGGUACCUCCCCCCUCUCUCUUCCUCCUGCUCCUGCCAGGUGAAAUGCCUGCUCCCUCAUUGCCCCCACCAUGAGUAAAAACUCCCACAGGUCACCCCAGAAGUAGAUGUUGCCACGCUUCCUGUACAGCCUGUGGAACUGUGAGCCAAUUCAACCUCUUUCCUUCAUACAUUACCCAGUCUCAGGUAUUUUUUGUAACAGUGCGAGAAUGGACUAAUACGGUUGUGUGGCCAUGUUUCCUCAGCUGUGGCUUGUUGACGGUUAAAUAUUUGCAUGCAGCCACAUUUCUCACAGGCUGCUCCCAGCCAGUGUCUGAGCAAGGCAGUGCAGGUCCACUCUGGGGAGAGGUUGGGCUGAGUCCUCUGGUUCAGGGUUGAGGAUGCCCGGUGGCUUUGCAGAACUUUCCUGGGGCCACCUCCUCGCAGCCAUCCCUCCUCUUUCCUUCACUGGGGUCAGACUCACACCACAGUCUGAAGGCUAUUCCAGUUGCACCCAGCUUCCCCCCGCAUUUCUCUUAGGCAUUUUCCCUGAUGAAAUGCUUGCCUAUUUGAUCCAUUUCUUUGCACCGCUCUUAGGGGACCUGGCGUAAAUCUACCCGAUUCUUACUCCUCGCCAGAUCUCCCCUGCAGGUGGCUGUUCUGCAGGAGGGGUCUUGCCUUGCCUCCUCCGCUGUCAUGGCUUCAGAGCGCUGGGAGCUGUCACUGCAUGGAACACAUCCCAGUUCCCAGGCUGCCCGAAUAUGAGGGCGCCUCCCUUCUUCAUCUGCAUGGUGACUCCUGGGGCCGCAUUCCUGGGGUCCUCGGCAGCCCCUCCUUCCUGCUUCCGUGAGGUGUAGAAGAUGGGGAAGUGAGUGGGCUGAGAGCAAAGAAAGGUGAUUGAUAGAAAUGAGAAGAAAGUCUUUCUGCUCAACUCACAGAAGCAUCCAAGGAAUGGAGCAUGGGCGCUGCCGAGUUCCCCUGGAGCUCAGGCACAGGUGUCUCCGUCAGGGGAUGGGAGAAAAGUUAAAAACACAAACAAGAACAAAACCUUGUGUAGAGAGUCUCUGUGCUGGGACACAAACUGAGGCCCUCCGCAUUUCACACUGAGGCCACUCAUGGCAUCAGGUCCUUUUGCUCCUCUCAGGCUUCCCUUCUUCCCAGUUUCUGCCUUAGGGAAAGGCCGUCAUCUGUUUUCCUCUUGCAUUAUUUUCACCUUUAUCUGUGGAAAGUUGCAAAGACUGCACAGGGGGCCUUCUCCAGAUGACAUGUGAAGCAACAGCCGUAGGAAACUCUAAAUCCACCUGAAAUUUGAGUUUCUGCUGAGGGUUAAUAUUUUAAAUGGAACCCAUGAGCCCACUAUAAAGCGAAGCCCAGCUCAGUGGUGAAGGAGCGUCUACAGGAGUCAUGAGGCACAGCAUUUUCUAGUUCCUGACUAAAAACAGAAAUGAAACCUUUUCUCUGCAGAUUUUGUCAAGGUGUUCUGCAGGCAGUUGCACUUUCGACCCUCCUCAUUUGCCCAUUAGCAAAUGGAAAAAUUAUAAUAAUGUGAACUAUUUUUGUUUUGUUUUUUAAAUGUUGAAUGAUGUGGCAGUGUAGCUAAAAUCCUGCAUUUGGAGGCCAGAACUGUAAGCCAUUUUUGAAAGGAAGACAGUUCUCGACAAUAAGCAUCUUGAUCUUGAAACCCUUGAGGAGCAGGGACAGAGCAGAGAGUACAGGUGAGAGCGAGAACAAGAGCAGCAAAAGAAAAUGAGCAAACCAUACUGGAAAAGCAACCCUUGGCCAGCCCCACUGGCUCUGAGCCACGUGCUAGGUGGGGUCAGGGGAGAAGCUCUGGGCCCUGCCAACUGUGUUCUGGCCUCAGCCCCAAGCUGUCCCUGAGGGCUGCACCCCAGAAUCCGAGGAUGUGAGGAGUAUGGUUCUGAGCCCUGCUCUGGUGAGGAAGGGACUGGCAGACUCUCAGAUCAUGCCGAGGCUGCUCUCAUUUGCUGUUUCAUGCAUGUGUGUUUUGUGUGCAUGUUGAAAGGAGCAAACUGCGUGUCGCCUAUGAAACAUGGGUUUGGUUCUUCAGAAGAAAUCCUUUUGGAGUUCUCACAAAGCUCCAAGUUAUCCAGGAAGCCCCAAGGACCAAACACGCAUUGUGGUUGGGACUGUGAUGCCCAGAUGGGCCAGUCCUGGAAAUGGAGCUCAUGGAAGGUGGCGUCGCGAUGGCCGGUAGAGCAGGAAGGAUGCGGGGCAGGGCCCCCUUGAAUCAGCCUGGCUGGGAGAGGUGGGUAGGAUUCAGUGAGGGUAUCUCAGACUGCACUGAAAUUAACAUUUUAUUUACACACAUUCACACAUAUACAAUACACCAAGAGACAUAAGAAGGAAAAAACUAUGAUAAGUUGCUGCUUAUGUGAGUUUCCACAUGGAUACAAAACACUCUUGUAUGCAAAGUUAACAAGGUCUGGGCUCCUUCCCAGCACACCUCUGCCCCCGUCCCCCGGGCUUCACCUCACGGCAAUGCGCUGGGCAGGGUGAGUCCCAUAUCGCUCUCAACAGCUGAAGGGGAGCUGCUUGUCUUGGCAGGACCUUGAGAGUUAAUGACACAUGUAAUGGUGUGUGGGGAAAGUGAGAGACGAUGGAGGAUUGUGUGGUACAAAAAAGCAAAAAUAUGUGUUAUAGAAAUAGAGUAUUUGCAUCAAACUGAAAUCCUCCCUAUCCUGAGAAUUUCAGGAAGAGGACAAAAUCACAGGGUCACAUCCUGAAGGACACCCUGCCCGGCUCUGACUUUACCCCUCUCAGUGCCCUGGGGUGGGGGUAUCGAUCUAGAAAGCCACCUAUCGCAGGGUGUGUGUAUGUGUGUGUGUGUAUUCAUUAGUGCUUGCGGUCACUGUGAAGACACCAACUGUUCUGAACAAGACUUUCCAAUAAUGCAGGGCGAGAUUGCCUGAAACAAACUAGAAAAACAACAUAAAAGAAGAAAAGGGAAAGCAUGCCCAGGAGAGCCUCAAAUAUCUUUUGUCCAUAUUGCUGUUUUCGAAAAUCCGGGGUGAAUAAAAAGCUGGCACUCUCCGGGUUUUGCCUGGUCCUGGAAUUCUUUUGUAGUGAGCACCACCUUGUGGUCUGCCUUUUGCAUUUCCCAAGAACACAAUGUCAGGGUCCCCGUGCUUGCUGAAACCUGGUUAUCACACUCGGGCUGGCCUCUCCUCCCAAGCCCAUCCUGCCUUCUUCCCACCCUACCAGACCCUUCCCACUCGAGGGCUCAGACCCAUCUCAGGCUUGCCCCAGUAGGCUCGUCCCACUUUCUGGAAUUAAGACUGAACAUUAAGUUGCUAGCCUGAGCCCAAGGCCCAGGUGUCCCAUUACAGCUGAUGUGCCACCCACACGGUCUGUCUGGGGCCACCCCCGGGGGACCAUUGCCCUACACAGCGCCCACACACACAGUCCCUCCACAUGCCCAUUUUGCUCAAAAUCUCUCUCUCCUCACUCCUACACCCCCCUUCAGCAACUUGCUGGGAUUUUUUCGGCGUAACGUAGUGGGUCUGGGCAAUCCCCAGAACAGGAACCCUCCCAGCAGCCCACCACCCCUAGUCUAUAAUCACAGUCGACUUCAACCACAAACACCUGGAGCACGGAAAGCGCUGCCCCACCCACCAGGAAACUCCGCAUCCCUCCACAUGAGGACCCAUCCUGCACCCGGGAGCAGUGGAGGCAUCUCAGCCAAGGCAACUGCAGAUGCUGGCAUAGCUCCACAUUGGACAAACAAAGGUGCCUCGUGAAGUGCCAUGAUAAGCCCUGCCAAGGUCUGAAGCAAACAGGUACAGCCGGGGUGUCAUCCCAGAAUAAACCACAGUCAGAGACAAGAUGGGGAGAUGGAGGAAGGAACCGGAACAAAGUGGCUCCAUGCACCGGGUAUAGGCAGGCACCUGGGCUCAUGGUGUUUAAUUCAUUCUCAUAAUAACUCUUUGGGAACUAUUAUUUUUCCCAUUGUACAGAUGAGGAUACCAAGGCUCACAGAGGUUGAAAAUGUGCUUGUUUAUCUUGAAUUUCCCUAACAUGAUCAGCUUGCUGUAGAUAUUCAAGUUCUACUAGCUUCUAACUCCUUCCAUGUAAAGCAGCAGCGAAGCUGCCCUGCCAAGGCCCACAGUUAGAUUUGUGCAUCUCUGAGCAUCUUUUCUUGAGCUCUCUUUGUUACCACCUGCUGGUCACAGAGCUGAGGAGGGCUGCACCCCCUUCCACCAUGGCUGCAGAUGCCCUCUGGGAGAACACUCGGGGCAGACUCCUGAGGACCCCAUGGUGUUGAGCACCUGUCCUUGCUGUGGCCAGGCUGCGCUCCGUACCAAGGUAGGCAAAACGCCCUGUCACCCACUGGGCAUCAUACCUGGGAACCUGGGCACACCCAAAAACUGCUGCAUCAUGCUCUGCCCAAAGCCCUGUCACCACAGGGCUCAGGCUAUGGGGCCACUUUGAGGCAGGCACAGCUUUCCUCUGUACCCCAGUGUGAAUCUUUGAUUGCUGUAACUAAUUGCCAUAAACGUUGUGGAUUAAAACAGCCUAAGUUUGUGAUCUGUUCUGCAGGUCGGUAGUUCAGUACAGAUCUCUUUGGACUAAAAUCUAAGUAUUGGCAAGUUGCAUCCAUUCCUGGAGCUCUGGGGAAGGCCCGUCCCUGCUCUGCUAGGUUGCUGGCUGAACUUAGUUCCCUGGGUUCCCUGGGAUUACAGACGUGCACCACCAUGUCCCACUAAUUUUUGUACUUUUAGUAGAGACCUGGUUUCACCUUGUUGGUGAGGCUGGUCUCAAGCUCCUGGCCUCAUGUGACCCACCCACCUCAGCCUCCCAAAGUGUUGGGAUUACAGGCAUGAGUCACCACGCCUGGCCUCCAAUGGACUAGUUUUGAAGGAAUCUCAGGAUUUGCAACCUGCUGGAAGGAAUUACUGGUGUCAUUAGAGGCCUCCCUGAAACCCCACGCAAUGACAGCAUGGCACACGCUGACCCCGGCUGAGCUCACAAUGGCAGUUGUUUUGGCUUGGCUUCUGUUUAGAUGGGAAGCAGCUCCCCAUGUCCCUUGGCUGAAGGUUUCUCCUAGAAGUUGACCAGGACCCCUGCAGGGGAUGAACAAAAGCUGACACCUCAUCACCCCAAUUCACACACAGUUAAGCCCCACUGAUCCUGGGAUACAAGUAGAUAAAGGGGGGAAAGGACUACUUUGUUUAACUUCCCAGUAUCCUCUGAUUGACUUAAUGAAAAAAUCCUGAUGUUAAGCUCCCAGAAAAGGGUUUUCAGUGCUGAACUUGAGCUGGGCAUACCACCUACAUCCUGUGUUCUGUGUUCACAAACACAGAACACAUUCGUGUCUCAUCUGUGCCUCAUUUGUCUUUCCCUGCCCUUACUUCCACGUGAGAGCAGCCACUUGUGAUCCUGUCCAUUUAAAACAAUAUGAUCACAGGCCUGGGGCUCCAGAUGCCGGACACAGAAAAGAAAAAGACGUGAUAAAUAACAUUUAAAGCACUGCAAAGUUUGAUUUUCAUGUCUAAUAUCUGCCCCUGGAGAUUCUGCUAAAUUUCUUUUUUCCCUCUUCAUAAAUUCUUAUGAUAACAACUUUAUUUGGGAAUUAAUCCAGAUUCCCAUUAUUCACUGAAUUACACUUUCCCAGCAUGUAAGUUCCUCCCUCGUUGUAAGUUACAAAGCCUUGGAAGCUACAUUAACUCUUUCUGGCUGCUGGGAUGACAGGUAUUGCUAGUCCUCAUGUUUCAGAAUUGUAUCUGAAAAGCAUUAAUGUAGUUUUAAAGGGUUUCCAAAUUAAAACCAGGAUGAAAAUUGACCACUGGGAGAAUCCUAUUUAUACUAUUAUAUUAUGGGGUGCUUUAAAUACACUUCCCUCCAGCCUACUGCCAUUGGCUCUAAUAUAUAGAACGGGCAUGUAUACAGAACGGGCAUCCCUCUUGCAGUAGCAUUGUGGAAGAAUUAAGCACCCACACUCUGAGGUCAAACUGUCCUGGUUGAAAUCUUGACUCCAUCUCUCACUAGCUGUGUGACCUCAGGUAAGUUACCUAACCCCUCUGAGCCUUGGUUUCCUCAUUUGUAAAGUGGAGAAAACAGCACUCACUUGAUGGGGCUGCCAUAAGGAUGAAGUAAUAUGGUGCAAGAGGAGCUGAGACUGCUGCUUGGCAAACAGUGGACAUUUGCUGAGAGCUUGCUGUGCACCAGGCACUGUUCUAACUACUUUACAUGUAUUAAUUCAUUGAACUCGCUCAACAACUUGGAGGUUGGACAUCAUUAUCCCUACUGCAGGCAGUGACCACUCUACAAAUGUUGGUUGCCAUCCGCUGAUCUUGACGCCUACGACGGAUUCGCCUGGUAACUCCAUCCACACUUAAGUUGGGAAAGCACUCCGCCCUGCCUCUAAGUCCGGGGACUCUGGGCAGGGUCCAUUACAUGACCUGGGUCUAAGCCAAUCAGAGCAUCUCACUACCGUCUCCACAGUGAUUGGUCCACGUGGGCACAUGACACUGCCGGGGCUGGGACUCCCCAAAAAGAGAGUCUCCCUUCUUCCUGCUGGACUAGCCUGAGACGAUGCGAGGCUAUCGCUGCCGCAGUACCGGGCGGAGGGCCUGUCUGAGAGGGAGCCAACCUCGAGGAAACUGGGUCAACAAUGGACAACGAGACACCAGCUGUGUGACUUCACGUGAGCCCACGCAGGAAGCCUGCCUGCAGCCGGGACCCUAUCUUGGCCCAUAGCAUCGGGGCUUCUCAGGGAAGCACUGGGGUGUAAGCUUCAGCCCCAAAAUGCAUCCCCACCCUUGUCCCCCUCCAGGCAGAGCAGAGACCACUGGGGCCUGCUUGCUGCUCGGUGGAGCCGAUGUCUUCAAGGCCGGGCUAAUGUCUCACCGGCCUCUCGGUUCCUUCCAGCUCCACUGACAGAAAGAAAGCAGAUUAGAUUACCGGGCGAGGCUGGAGGGCUGGGUGUGACAGGGCCCUCCAGAGAGCCUCGGGACAGAACCUCAGCAGAUGGUGGCAGCUGAAGACACAGGAAUCUCAUCAAAUAACCAGGAAAGAUUAACUACUGGAGAAGAGAAAAGACUGGGAAUCAUCACCAUGCCAGACAGACUUUUCACCUAUUCGUCUGAGGACAGCUCCAAGAGAUGACCUGGGAGACUUUACCUGCAUAAGAAGACAACCUUUGUUCACAGCGUAGUUCUGCCCCUCACCCUCCUGCCACCUGCCCCAGAACUCAGAGGAACUUUGUCCCAGGCUAUUAUCUAUUCUUUGGGCUCACUCAUUUUCCUUAGAAAUCAUUUACUACCCCUCUAAAAUUUCCUACAGUCCCCCACUUCCCUGUCUCCUAUGAAGAGGAUAUAUAAGCCUCAACCAUCUGGCCCUUCUUUGAGUCUCCUAUUUGUAGGACUCCCAUGGCCAUAUGCACCUUAAUAAAUGUGUAAGCCAUUUUUCUCCUAUGAA